AUUGAACGCUGGCGGCAUGCCUUACACAUGCAAGUCGAACGGUAACAGGUCUUCGGAUGCUGACGAGUGGCGAACGGGUGAGUAAUACAUCGGAACGUGCCCGAUCGUGGGGGAUAACGAGGCGAAAGCUUUGCUAAUACCGCAUACGAUCUACGGAUGAAAGCGGGGGAUCUUCGGACCUCGCGCGGACGGAGCGGCCGAUGGCAGAUUAGGUAGUUGGUGGGAUAAAAGCUUACCAAGCCGACGAUCUGUAGCUGGUCUGAGAGGAUGAUCAGCCACACUGGGACUGAGACACGGCCCAGACUCCUACGGGAGGCAGCAGUGGGGAAUUUUGGACAAUGGGCGAAAGCCUGAUCCAGCCAUGCCGCGUGCAGGAUGAAGGCCUUUGGGUUGUAAACUGCUUUUUUACGGAACGAAAAGCCUCUUUCUAAUAAAGAGGGGUCAUGACGGUACCGUAAGAAUAAGCACCGGCUAACUACGUG
rnacentral:rRNA from 1 species